rnacentral:rRNA from 1 species
AUUGAACGCUGGCGGCAGGCCUAACACAUGCAAGUCGAGCGGCUGAAGGGAGCUUGCUCCUGGAUUCAGCGGCGGACGGGUGAGUAAUGCCUAGGAAUCUGCCUGGUAGUGGGGGAUAACGUCCGGAAACGGGCGCUAAUACCGCAUACGUCCUGAGGGCGAACGUGGGGGAUCUUCGGACCUCACGCUAUCAGAUGAGCCUAGGUCGGAUUAGCUAGUUGGUGGGGUAAAGGCCUACCAAGGCGACGAUCCGUAGCUGGUCUGUGAGGAUGAUCAGUCAAAAUGGAAAUGAGAGACGGGCCAGACUACGACGGGAGGCAGCAGGGGGGAAUAUUGGACAAGGGGCGCAAUCCUGAUCCAGCAAUACCGCGUGGGUGAAGAAGGCAUUCGGGUUGUAAAGCCUUUUUGUUGGGAAAGAAAAGCAGCAGGUUAAUACCCCGCUGUUCUGACGGUACCCAAAGAAUAAGCACCGGCUAACUUCGUG